rnacentral:lncRNA from 1 species
UUGUAAAAUUGUGCAAGUAACAGGAAUUGUGUGAUGAUUUUUAUUCAAUACAAAGUACCACAGGAUUAUUUCAUGAUUGGUAAUUGAGUCAAACAUAUCUCUAUAAUAAUAUAAUUUAGUACAAAUCUCUCAUAUUUGUGUAAGACAUUUCAUAAAGCUGCUUGUUAGUUGCACACAACUUAAUGCACAACUAAAAUCCAGCAUGAAUUAUUUAAAAAGUCAGGAUAAAAGGCUUCACUGCAAAGUGAAGUCCUUUUAAAGACAUCAAUCUAUGUUUGCCACUCCCAAACUGGGCAUUAAGAUGAUUACCAAUGAGAAUGAAGUACUUAAAUCCUGAGCAGAGCUGGGCCUUGUAUCAUAAAUAUGUGUGAUUAAUCACAGAACGGCUAUGGCCAAUCAAAAUUAUUGUUGCAUGCACUUACUGCUCAAAGUAAUAACCAUCCACCAAUCGUACUGAUUGUUACAAUCAUUAAAUUAAUCACAAAUCUUUGUGUUGCAGGGCCUAGUGGGAAAAUAUUAGAGCACUGUCAGUACCUUGCAUAGGGGUUUGUUUGCUAUGAAAGAAAUACAUGUAAUACAUAAGUUAAUUACAAGGUCACUAUGAAAGGUUAAUGGUGCAUAAAUAUGCAUACUAUCUGCUGGACAGAAAGCAAUAAAAUCUUGCUUCUGCUGAGAUGUACUGAAUCAAUAUAUACUCCCAAGGGAGUGAAGCAUUUUUGUCAUGCACUAUUGAGGAGACGACAUCUUAACUAAGACCUAUAUGACAUUUAUAUAUUUUGCUAUUGUUAUUCCUGACUUUGAUACAUUUUUAUCCUUGUCAAUGAAUUUAAAUUUUCCUUUUACUUCAAGUCUAGAAAAAAAAAUGAUUUAGAUUUAUUUUGAUGAUUCAAAUAAGUUUAUUCCUAAAGUGAAUUCUUUAGACUUUAGAACACACACCCAUUUGGAGAGGAACUUCAAUAGUAUAGUUCAGGAAAUUAUUGUCAGGUGAGGCAAACUGUGAAAGACUUUUAGGAAUGCUGAGGUUAUGUAUCUGAUUUACCGAAUGAAAUGAAGGAAUUUGUCAAGUCAUUUUGUCAUAUGAUCUCUAUCUUAAAGUAUUGCUUAUCUCAGAAACAGCUCAUAGUUACUGCUGAAAUUGACCCUUUUAAACAAUGCACUUAAUGUCGCUUACGGUCAAUAAAACCUAUUCAAAGUUUUAAUUGAAUUGCAUGAUGAUUGCAUUCACAUUGCACGUUGUGAUUUUAGACAAAAUAAUUUCCCAUGUUUUGCAUACCAAUGUCCAUAAACUGUGUGGUUCGAAGGUGAUGAAAUUAUGCCUACUUAAUUUCUAGGUUGGAAACUUAAUUUAAGGUUAGAAUCUACUUAACUUAAGAGCUAGAAGAAUCUUACUUUAAAGGUUGAUAGAAACUGAAACUACCGUGUUCAACUCUCCUUGUGAAGUAUGUACUAAAUGAAUAGCAAUUGUAUGUUCAAUUUACUAGAUUGCACAGGAAUAAAAUCAUGUUCUGAGUGAACAAAAGAAAGUUGGAAAUGGAUGGAAGACAUUGGAUUAAGGAGAUAUCCUUGAUAUUUCAUCAACAUUCUUCAUGCCAAUAUGAGAUCAUGUGAUCAGGCUCUGCCUUAUCAUGUCUGUCAAACAUGCUAUUCAUGGAACAAGUAUGUAGAAAUGACAAAAUGAUAAGAACUCCUUGCAGACGAUACAUCCUUUCAAGAUUAUGGCACUUUUUUAUAUUCAUAACUCAAUUUUAAAAACAAAGGGGUAUUCUUACUAAGUUCAAGUUAAAGUCUUAAUACCAAGAUUAUUUAUUAAAUUUGGCAUUACAUAUUAUGGUGUCUUUACUCUUCAAAACAUGAUUGCAAUACACAAUUAUUGAACCAUUGGUUUCCCCACUAUACUGAUUGUAUUGGUAUCCUUUCGUCAUUUAUUUGUAUAAUGAUGAAAAAGUCUUCCCAAUGUUGACUCAGCAUAAGUUGAAUAAUGGCCCAAGUCAACUUUAUUUUCAGAUAAGUGCCCUGCAUUAUACAGCUUAGCAAGCAAUCUAUUAUACAAUAUAUUUUUAUUAUUAAUUUAAUACAUGUAUUGAACAAAGCAAGUCAGUUGUAAAAUUAAGCCCACUGGUGAAACACUAUGCUUUUAUUAUUGUCGGAUGGUCCCCUAUUUUCAGGAAAAGUAUAUCUUCCUUUUGAAUAGUUUAGCUUUAGUACUCAUAUGUUAAACUGCCUAAUAUAUUGAUAACUGUAAAGUACAAUUUCCUGGGACCACAGAAUCUUUUUGACUUCAGGGUUAUUAAAUAAUAGCUAUUUUUUAUGUAGCGCUUUUUCCCAUAAUGGCUCAAAGUGCUUUACAGCAUAUUAUUACCCUGGUCAUUGGAUUCAUUUCAAUUUGAAUUAUUAGAAGCAAAUUUAACGUCUUGUGUCAUGUAACAUACGAACUAUCGUCAAUAUUAGGUGAAUUAUUUAUGUUAUACCCCCUUGUCUAAAAAUCACUUCAACUCUGGUCAUUAUUCAUCUUAUGGAAAGUCAGCUUGUGACAAUAACUGUAGUUGAGAAGAUAACUUUCAUGAAACCUUGACCAACAUUUCAUGAUUCCUACUGGGUACCCCCACUCUUUUCCUGACAUUCCGGCAACAUGAACUCCCCAUGCUACAAGGUCUCAGACUUCCCAAUGUAUGUCUGUUUCCGCCAAGGAGAACUGCCAUUUAGAGAACCUUUGUUAAAGGAGCAUAUGUCAUGUCUUUAAUUGCUGCUCAAAUGCCUUAAUGUGCUGAAAUACACUGAUUCAUUUUUGCAUGAAUAUGAUUGGAGAUUUCAUCUUUUGAUCAUCUGCUGCAAAUGUUGUUGCUGAUGGUAGACCAGGGCCAUGUCUUACAAAGAAUUGUGAUAGAUUCAAAUCGAAUUGAAAUUGUUAUUGAUCUCAAUUAUUGUUAUUGAUCUCAAUUUGUGUAGUUAAGAGAUGGGAAUCUCAGAUCAAUCGCAAUUGAAAAGUCUUUGUAAGACAGACCUCAGUGUAGUCAUUAUUUUGUAAUUUGUAGAUUUUUCCUGGGAUUUGUUGUCGGUUACUUUCAAUCAACUCCUAAACCCACAACAUAUAUCUUGGAAAUUGAUCAUACAAUUGAUUUCAGUGAUGGCUCGCACAUGAAAAUCAUUGUUACCGAUCACAAGUAUCAGUCCUAUGAUCAAUCGCUAAUCUCUGUGUUAAUGACUCUAUUGAGUGGCUUGUGUUACUGCAAAAUGUUGAAAACUUCCUUUAGCUGCACCCUCUUUCUUAAGACCCAAUGUUGAUACCCAUCAUAUCAAUGACUGGAUGGACUCUAUUUAUUUUGCUGUAAACUGAUUUGAACUGUCAUGGGUUUGGUAGGAAAGACUCAAGCCUGAAGGUGAAGAAAAAGCAAGAUUCAUAUCUGACCCUUUUAAUCUUCCACCUCCCUGCGCUAUGCUGACAUCCUGUCUGCUCCAUUACAAGAACAAAAGAAAGUCCUCAAGCAAAUCCUUCAUUUAGAGCCUAGACGUCCAUUUGGUGACCUGUAGAGGAGGGCAUAAUACUCAAAUGCUGGCAUGUUGACUGGUCAUUUUGUGUCGUAUGAAAAAGAAAACCCUCUUGCAAAUCCUUGUUCAUUUAGAUCCUAGACAUUCAUUUGAUGACCUGGAGAGGGAAGCAUUAACUCAUAACUCUUGUGAGGAUUGGUCAUUCUCUUUUGCUUAAGGAAAAACUCCAAGCAAAUUCUUUCUUAGUUUGAUCCUUAAGGUCCAUUCAUACUUUAUUUUUCUUGAUAUUUAGAGGAUAUAUUCAUACUGAACUAUUCAUGUUUGAUACAAAAAACAUCUGUUAUAUUCAAAAUAUUUCCAUAAAAUAUGUUACAUUUUUAGGGGGGCCUUAGAGAUUUUAUAGAGUUGCUCUCUUGAUGAGGAGUGGAUAAAUUUAAUUAUGUUUAUAAAGCAUGUCCUGUGAAGGAUGAAGGCACAUGUCAAGUCCUGAACAUUAGGUCAAGUUGUAGGCCUGUCCAUGAUUAUGACAUUAAUGGCAGCAUUUUACUUGAUAGGUGGACAUUGCUGGCAUUCAUCAUUAUGCACCCUUAUCAUCAUUAGAACCUUAUGUUGUAGUUUUCAUUUUUUUUUCUUGCAUGUGCUAUCCAAUCAUAUAUUAUAAUAUAAUUGUUAGAGAUUCCUGAAAUAUAUCCCAAUGUAUGAAUGUUGUACCCUUCUUGGGGCAGUCCAACACUUAGACAUGAUUCAUGCUGUUAAAUGAUUAAUUAACUUCAUUUAUUUUUUUUCUAAUGGGAAUCAUAACCACAGAAGUUAACGUGUUAGAGAAUGUAAAAAUGAAAAUGAGCUUAAUCUAUGUGUGUGAUGAUAUAUUUAAGGAGCAAAUUUGAAUGAUGGAGGAGAAGUGUGUUGUGUCAUAAUGAAGCAGGACCAAUAGUCUGAAAAACGAUUGUUUUCAGCAUUCUUUUUAAAAAUACAUGUUGAUGAAGGAUGACAAACCUUGCAUUGCAAAAUCAAUGUUUCCCAUAUGGCAUCUAUGCAUUGUUUCAUCAGGGAACUAUGUACAUAUAAAAACUAAAGAAAUAUAUCUUUAUAUAUAUAUUUGUAUGAUCUUUAUCAUGUACGAUAUAAAUCAUGCUACGAAAUGUACAAUUUUGUUUCUGUUUCCAAUCAUUAUUUAUUUUCUAAUUAUGAUUAUAUAAUGUAGAUGAUAAUGCCUUGAGUUCUUAAUUGAUAUAGCUUUUGUUUCUUGAUAUAUACUGAAUGGCAUUAAAAUUAUUACUCCAUGACUAGAAAUUAUUAAUUAUAUUAUGUAAGUGUUGAUUUCAUUCUAUAUCAUUCUGUUCAUUCUCAUAAUCAAAAUUUCUGUUUGCUGUAUAAUUUCUGUCCCUAUGUCAAAUAUGUGUAAAUGUACAUUUAGUAUGUAAGAUAUAAUAUUGUAUUUUUGUGAAUAUCUUUCCAUGUGAUGAUAGAACUGCAAGCCUACUUGAAAACAUUUGCAGUAUGAAAAUCUGUUUUAAUACAUAAAGACCAAAAA